rnacentral:lncRNA from 1 species
ACUCCUCUUUGGAAAGUUGUACUUGUUGUAUAUCUGCUUUGAGACUCAUGUCUAAGUGCAAAUUGAGUCAUGCCUCGAGUAUGUGAUGAUAUUUAAGACAUAUGAUAUUUAAUCCCAUGGCUAAAAAUAUGUUUUUUAAAACAAAUAAUUUAAGAAAAAGAAUUCAUUACAAACACUAUUGCUUUUUAUUUUAUUUUUUUAAUCUCAAACAAACACACCCUGAAUGUAAGUAAUUGGCUAAUUGCU